CAAUAACAUCCGUUGGUAAUAGAAUAUGUUAAGUAUAAAAGAAAAGGGUUUAGUCGUAGUAAAAUAUAGUACAAAUAAGUUAAAGACAAAGUCUAAAAAUGGGUUGCAGUGAAUCAAAAGCGAGAGAAUGUGAUAGCUGUACUAGAACAGACUGUCAAUCUGGAACAUGGUACACUUGCAAUACUGAACAUUACUUUUGUGGAGAACACAGGAAUAAAAGCUACUGCCCAAAGCAUCCGAGCUACGGCAGGAGAACUUAGCAAACCCUUUCUCUUUAUACUAUGUUUUAAUACUUAAUUACUUACAUGUAACUUAACAGAUAAUUAUCACUAACUAUAUAUUUUAUGUAUUUAGUUUUAUCUCAGAUACUUACUUAUUUUCUUCAUACACAUUGUGCUGGAUCAUUUUAUUUCAAAUAGAGUACCAAUAGCAAUGAGGAGUGCGAUGGCUGUCAUAAAACCAGUCAGUGUCUCUCAUCCGGAGUAUUGUAUUUAUGUGGACACAAUCACAGACUAUGUGAAAACUGCUCCAAUAUGAGUACAUGCCCUGUACAUCAAAGAGACCGUAGAAAAACAUAAUUUAUAAUAAUCAUUAUUCAUUACUAUUAUGAUUAUGAAUGUACAAAUACACAUUUAUUUUGUUACAUACAAUAAUGUUAAUAUCAUAAAAA